AAAUCUAACAAAAAUAUGGUAUUACCACAUUAUUUUGCUAGUUGAUUAAGUGGUUUUAUAGAAGCAGAAGG
rnacentral:tRNA from 1 species